AACGGGUUUCAUUCCAGCUACUUAGGAGUUCUUGAGAAUCAAAUGCGAGUUUCUUUCCCCGAAGCAGGUAUUAAACGAAAUCAUAUCGAAGGAAAGAUAAAAAAAAUGGAAGCGUGAUUAUUUUGAUCUAGACGCUAUACUUCGAAUUCCGGGGUUUGGGUGGAAUCCAAAUGAAAAUAAACUGGUGGUGCAAAAUGAUGUUUGGAAUGAAUUUGUUCGAGAUCAGCCACAACUGAGACAUUUCCGGGACAGGGAAUUUCCCAAUUUUAAUCGUUGGGGCCAUUGCUUUGUUCGACAAGAAAACUAGAAGUAUGAAGUUGUAAGAGGGUGGUCGAAGAAUAAGUUCGUACUUUUGAUAAUUAAUGUUUGAGGAAUAAAUUUGUACCAUUCCGGUUUAUAUCUCAAGUAAUUAUAUUUAUUUGAGAUUACUAAUGUUUUUCUACAUAAUGCAGUCUUCAAUUCGAAAUUGGAGAAAUUAAACUUACAA